rnacentral:rRNA from 1 species
CGCCAACCAGCUAGCCCAUCCUAACAAAAACAACAACUCAAUAUUAAUAACCCCAAAUACACUACCCCCACCCUUAAACAAAACAUUCUUCCUCCUUAGUACGGGCGACGGAAAAGGAAUCACCGGAGCAAUAGAGAAAGUACCGCAAGGGAAUGCUGAAAGAGAAAUGAAAUAACCCAGUAAAGCCUAAAAAAGCAGAGAUUCUACCUCGUACCUUUUGCAUCAUGAUUUAGCUAGAAUCAUCCAAGCAAAGAGCACUUUAGUUUGGAUCCCCGAAACUACGUGAGCUACUCCAAGACAGCCUAUUUAUAGGGCAAACCCGUCUCUGUGGCAAAAGAGUGGGAAGAGCUUCGAGUAGGGGUGACAGACCUAUCGAACCUAGUUAUAGCUGGUUGCCUGAGAAAUGAAUAGGAGUUCAGCCUCCUAGCUUCUCCCUUCACCACGAUUUCACCUAUCGAUAUUAAAGAAGCUAAGAGAGUUAGUCAAAGGGGGUACAGCCCCUUUGAAACAAGAUACAACUUUCCCAGGAGGGUAAAGAUCAUAAUUACUAAAGGUAAAAAUGCCCCGGUGGGCCUAAAAGCAGCCACCCCUAUAGAAAGCGUUAAAGCUCAAGCAUUGACCCCCACCCAUAUAUUCAGAUAAUAUAAUCCUAACCCCCUAAAUAUUAACAGGCUACCUCAUGCAAACAUGAGAGUAUUAAUGCUAAUAUGAGUAAUAAGAGGGACCCGCCUCUCUCCUUGCACACGUGUAUGUCGGAACGAACCCCCACCGAAAUUUAACGGCCCCAAACAAAGAGGGUAAUGAAUAUGAAAAUAAAAAACCAGAAAACCAUCCAAUAAUUUACCGUUAACCCCACACUGGUGUGCCCUUAAGGAAAGACUAAAAGAAAAAGAAGGAACUCGGCAAACACCACUAAGCCUCGCCUGUUUACCAAAAACAUCGCCUCUUGCUAACUCUAAGAAUAAGAGGUCCAGCCUGCCCUGUGACUAUAUGUUUAACGGCCGCGGUAUUUUAACCGUGCGAAGGUAGCGCAAUCACUUGUCUUUUAAAUGGAGACCUGUAUGAAUGGCAUAACGAGGGCUUAACUGUCUCCUUUUUCAAGUCAAUGAAAUUGAUCUCUCCGUGCAGAAGCGGAGAUAUAUCCAUAAGACGAGAAGACCCUGUGGAGCUUUAGACACCAAGGCAUAUCAUGCUAAAUACCCCCUGAUUAAAGGACCAAGCUAAGUGAACCCAUGCCCGCAUGUCUUUGGUUGGGGUGACCGAGGGGAAUAAAAAACCCCCGCGUGGAGUGGGAGCACUAACCUCCUACAACCAAGAGCUGCAACUCUAAGAAGCAGAAUUUCUGACCAAAGAGAUCCGGCUAUAGCCGAUCAACGGACCGAGUUACCCCAGGGAUAACAGCGCAAUCCCCUUUUAGAGCCCAUAUCGACAAGGGGGUUUACGACCUCGAUGUUGGAUCAGGACAUCCUAAUGGUGCAGCCGCUAUUAAUGGUUCGUUUGUUCAACGAUUAAAGUCCUACGUGAUCUGAGUUCAGACCGGAGCAAUCCAGGUCGGUUUCUAUCUAUGUUAUGUUCUUUUCUAGUACGAAAGGACCGAAAAGAAGAGGCCUAUGCUUAAGGUACGCCUUACCCCUCCUAAUGAAAACAACUAAAUUAGGCAAAAGGGAAUACCUUUCCCAGCCAAAAAUAAUGGCGU